rnacentral:rRNA from 1 species
GACAGCAGCCGCCGCGGGAAUACGAAGGGUGCAAGCGUUAAUCGGAAUUACUGGGCGUAAAGCGUGCGUAGGCGGUGAGUUAAGUCUGCUGUGAAAUCCCCGGGCUCAACCUGGGAAUGGCAGUGGAUACUGGCUCGCUAGAGUGUGUCAGAGGAUGACGGAAUUCCCGGUGUAGCGGUGAAAUGCGUAGAGAUCGGGAGGAACAUCAGUGGCGAAGGCGGCCAUCUGGGACAACACUGACGCUGAGGCACGAAAGCGUGGGGAGCAAACAGGAUUAGAUACCCCAGUAGUCCCUGUCUCUUAUAC